GACGAACGCUGGCGGCGUGCCUAAUACAUGCAAGUAGAACGCUGAAGGAGGAGCUUGCUUCUCUGGAUGAGUUGCGAACGGGUGAGUAACGCGUAGGUAACCUGCCUGGUAGUGGGGGAUAACUAUUGGAAACGAUAGCUAAUACCGCAUAAUAGCAGUUGUUGCAUGAUAACUGUUUGAAAGGUGCAAUUGCACCGCUACCAGAUGGACCUGCGUUGUAUUAGCUAGUUGGUGGGGUAACGGCUCACCAAGGCGACGAUACAUAGCCGACCUGAGAGGGUGAUCGGCCACACUGGGACUGAGACACGGCCCAGACUCCUACGGGAGGCAGCAGUAGGGAAUCUUCGGCAAUGGACGGAAGUCUGACCGAGCAACGCCGCGUGAGUGAAGAAGGUUUUCGGAUCGUAAAGCUCUGUUGUAAGAGAAGAACGAGUGUGAGAGUGGAAAGUUCACACUGUGACGGUAUCUUACCAGAAAGGGACGGCUAACUACGUG
rnacentral:rRNA from 1 species